AACCUCCGCAAUGUGAGAAAUCGCGACGGGGGGAUCCCAAGUGCCAUUCUUAACGGGAUGGCUUUUCAUUAGUGUAAAGAGCUUUUGGAAUAAGAGCUGGGCAAGACCGGUGCCAGCCGCCGCGGUAACACCGGCAGCUCUAGUGGUAGCAAUUUUUAUUGGGCCUAAAGCGUCCGUAGCCGGUUUAAUAAGUCUCUGGUGAAAUCCUGCAGCUUAACUGUGGGAAUUGCUGGAGAUACUAUUAGACUUGAGACCGGGAGAGGUUAGAGGUACUCCCAGGGUAGAGGUGAAAUUCUGUAAUCCUGGGAGGACCGCCUGUUGCGAAGGCGUCUAACUGGAACGGUUCUGACGGUGAGGGACGAAAGUUAGGGGCGCGAACCGGAUUAGAUACCCGGGUAGUCCUAACUGUAACGAUGCGGACUUGGUGUUGGGGUGGCUUUGAGCUGCUUCAGUGCCGAAGGGAAGCUGUUAAGUCCGCCGCCUGGGAAGUACGGUCGCAAGACUGAAACUUAAAGGAAUU
rnacentral:rRNA from 1 species